CGGGGCGGAAAGUCCCAGAUGUUGGAGUCGGACUCUACUUGUUGUGGUUUCGGCUCCACUGUGGGAAUCGGCCUCUCCUCUUCCUGCCCACGGAACAGUGAGUGUCUGUCAGCGCCUCACCGCACCGGCUCUCUGCCUCAGGUUGUUCUUUGUAAGGUGUUAGAAGCUUCCCAAUCGAUCAGUGGCUUUCGAUGUGUGAAGGUGCAACCUGUGGGGACUUAUUUGUGUGACCACCCUUGCCUGGGUGACAGGUCUACCACUGAAGAACGGUCGUACGGGGUCAUAGUCAGUGACCAUAACAGGACAGGAAGACAACGGAAGAUUAUAGACUCCAGUAGCUGAAGUGAAGUUAACUGGACUACAGUCACCGGGUUUUUAUCUUCCACCCUUCUUCAACAAUGGUUUUCAACUCCACUGGGACCUUUCCGUAACAUGCAGGCUGGCAAUCCUGUGACACCGCUGGUGCCUGACUCCAUCGGUCUCUGCCGUUGCUCUGGGUUCAUCAGCUCCUGCAUGGGCAACAGCUUGCUUUACGUAUCGUACUACCCUGGUCUGCAUAUUGACUUCGACAGCCAGGGCGCAAUAUCCAUGAUCGACCCUGACCAGCAGAGGGCCAUCACCAACAUGUCUGUCCACGGCCUCCUCUCCUGCUACAGGUUAGCAGGACAACACCAGAUAUUCUGAAUGUGUCGACUCCAAUCUUGAUGGCAUGAACAUUGAUUUCUCCGAAUUCCGGAUAUCACUACACUCUGUUUCCCUCACCCUCCCUUCUUUACCUCCAUUCUGAUGCCAUUUAACCCCUUCACCUCUCCUCACGCACCCUCAUGAUAUGCCCAUCAACUCUGUCUGGUUCUCUGGCUCCUUCGUGUCAUCCCAUGGUCCAACAUUUUCUCCUAUUGGAUUCCUUUUUCUUCAUCUCUUUGCCUCUUCUGCCUGUCACCCAGCUCCUCACAUCAUCGUCCCUCCACAAACCACACACCCCACUCGCUUGUCCUCCCUCCCCCCCCCCCCCCCACCACCUUAUCCUGGCUUUUGUCCCUCUCUUUCUCAUCCCGAUGAAGGUUCUCAGCCCGAAAUGUCAACUGUUUGCUGAGUUCCUGCAGUAUUUUGUGCGUGUUUGCUUCAGUCUGUGUGUUGAUUAAGCUGAUCAAACUGGUACAGUGGAAGAGGAAUUUGUGGAGUGGUCAGAGACAGUUUCUUACAGCAGGAUCUUACCCAGGAACAGGACAUUUCAGAUGUAAUCUGUGUAAUGAGGUGGGAUUACAGAGAGAUCUUGUGGUGAAGGAUCAUUGAAGAAGUGAUCACAAUGUGGGAAAGAAGACACGGAGAGGAAUGGUCACAAGAUCCUCAGGUGUUCCUCCCAAUGGGAUAAAGUACAAAAGGAGAAAUAUCAAAGAGAGAUGAGAACGGAGCUGUGAUUGUCAUGAGAGAUUUAAUCAGAAGCAGAUUGGAGUACUGCUGCAUCGAGUAACUUUGCUCUGAGAGCUGCAACAACCACGAUCUGCUGGUGGAAACCCAUUCCAACUGAGUUCCCCAUUCACAUCCCGGCAUAUCGGUACCUUACAGCUGUCUAAACCGGUGAUGUGGUGGUAAUGGGACAAGCUACCACUUCCUAUUAAAUGCUACUUACCAAAAAGCCUCUUAAGAGACCCUAUCGUACCUGCUUCCGCCACCGUUGCUGGCAAUCCAUUCCACGCACUCACCACUCUGAGUAAAAAAACUUACCCCUGACAUCUCUGUACCUACUCCCCAGCACCUUCAACCUGUGUCCUCUUGUGGCAACCAUUUCAGCCCUGGGAAAAAUCCUCUGACUAUCCACACGAUCAAUCUUGUGCGCCUCUACCAGGUCACCUCUCAUCCUCCAUCGCUUCGAGGAGAGAAGGCCAAGUUCACGCAACCUAUUAUCAUAAGGAAUGCUCCCCAUUCCAGGCAACAUCCUUGUAAAUCCCCUCUGCACUAUUUCUAUGGCUUCCACAUCCUUUCUGUAGUGAGGCACACAGAACUGAGCACAGUACUCCAAGUGGGGCCUGACCAGGGUUGCGUAUAGCUGCAACAUUACCUCUCAGCUCCUAAAUUCAAUUCCACGAUUGAUGAAGGCCAAUACACCGUAUGCCUUUUCAACCACUGAGUCAACCUGCGCAGCUGCUUUGAGCGUCUGUGGUCUCGGACCCCAGGAUCACUCUGAUCCUUCACACUGCAAAGAGUCUUACCAUUAAUACUAUAUUCUGCCAUCAUAUUUGACCUAUCAGAAUGAACCACUUUAGACUUAACUGGGUUGAACGCCAUAUGCCACCUCUUAGCCCAGUUUUGCAUCCUAUCAAUGUCCUGCUGUAACCUCUGACAGCCGUCCACACUGUCCACUACUCCUCCAACCUUUGUGUCAUCAGCAAACCUACUAACCCAUCCCUCCACUUCCUCAUCCAGGUCGUUGAUAAAAAUCGUGAAGGGUCCCAGAACUAGUGACCGACCUCCAAGCAGAAUGUGACCCAGCUACAACCACUCUUUGCCUUCUGUGGGCAAGCCAGUUCUGGAUCCACAAAGCAAUGUCCCCUUGGAUCCCAUGCCUCAUUACUUUCUCAGUAAGCCUUGCAUAGGGCGCCUUACCAAGUGCCUUGCUGAAAUCUAGAUACACUACAUCGAGUGCUCUUCCUUCAUCAAUGCGCUUAGUCACAUCCUCAAAAUUUAAAUCAGGCUCAUAAGGCACGUGCUGCCCUUGACAAAGUCAUACUGACUACUCCUAAUCCUAUUAUACCUCUCCAAAAGUUGAUAAAUCCCGUCUCUCAGGAUCUUCUCCAUCAACUUACCAACUACUGAGGUAAGACUCACUAGUCUGUAAUUUCUUGGGCUAUCUCUACUCCCUUUCUUGAAUAAAGGAACAACAUCCACAACCCUCCAAUCCUCCGAAACCUCUCCCGUCCCCAUUGAUGGUGCAAAGAUCAUCGCCAGAGGUUCAGCAAUCUCCUCCCUUGCCUACUCCAUGUAGCCUGGGGUACAUUUUGUCCAGUCCCGGCAACUUAUCCAGCUGGUUGCUUUCCAAAAUAUCCAGCACAUCCUCUUUCUUAAUAUCAACAUGCUCAAGCUUUUCAGUCUGCUGCAAGUCAUCAGGACAAUCACUAAGAUCCUUUUCCAUAGUGAAUACUGAAGUAAAGUAUUCAUCAGGUACCUCUGCUAUUUCCUCCGUUUCCAUACGCACUUUCCCACUGUCACACUUGAUAGGUCCUAUUCUGUCAUUUCUUAUCCUCUUGCUCUUCACAUACUUGUAGAAUGCCUUGGGUUUUCCUUACUCCUGCCUGCCAAGGCCUUCUCAUGGCCCCUUCUGGCUCCUUCCUAGUAGACUUAUAAUCUUCUAGAUAUAUAUCCUUACAGAAGUGGAAAGAACAUGGCACAGCUGAAAACCUACCUCAAGCAGGCAGUGUUCAAAUACUGAGCAGCCAUCCAAGAAGAGAACCAGAGAGAAAGGCUAACAAAACACCUUUGAUAACUCUCAAGGAGUUACAAGCUUCAGUUGCUAAAAUGGGAGAGAUUAUGCAUACAUCAACUGUUUCCCAGGUGCUUCACCUGUCACAGUUUAUCAGAGAGUGGCAAAGAGAAAGCCACUGUUGAAAAAAGCUGUCAUGAAAUCUCACCUGGAGUUUGUCAGAGGAUGAGAGGGACUCUGAAGUCAGCUGGAAGAAGUUUCUAUGGUCUGAAACUAAAACAGAACUUUUGGAAACAGACUAAACUGUUAAGUUUGGUAUAAGCCAAACACUGCACAUCAUCAAAAACACUCCGUCCCUGUCAUGGAGCAUGGUGGAGGCUGCAUUGUGCUGUGGGUUUGCUUCACUGCAGCAGGCCCUGAAAGGCUCAUGAAGGUAGAGUGUAAAAUGAAUGCAGCAAAAUACAGGGAAAUCCAGGAGGAAAAUGUAACGCCGUCUGCAAGAGAACUGAGACUGAGGAGAUUUGUUUUCUGGCAAAUCAAUGGCCACGAGCUUAAAACCAAAGCUGCAUAGAAAUGCCUUAAAACAAGAAAGUUAAUGUCCUGAAGUGGCCAAGUCAGAGUCCAGACCUAACUUUGUAGCUGGAUUUGAAAAGGGCUGCUCACUCACAAACUGCAUGCACUCCGACUGAUCUUGAGUAGUUUUGUAAGGAAGAAUGGGGGAAAGUUGCGGUGUCCAAGUGUGCAGAGCUGAUAGAAACAUAGACUCAAGGCUGUAAUUGCAGCCAGUGGUGCAUCAACUAAAUAAAUACUGACUUGAAGGAGCUGAAUACGCCUACCUGGACAUGGUCCUUUUCCUGUACGUUUGUAUGCCUGUCUUAAUACAUGACUCCCUUACUCUUAUACUCAACACCCUGACCAUUGGGGACCAGCAUUCUGUACACCUUAUCCCAUUGUGUAGCCACAUUCAGUGAACUAUCUGCCUGGAUCCCAAGUUCACUCUUUACACCAAUGCUGGGAAGGAGUCAAUCAUUAACAUUAUACUUUUUUCUUUCAUUUGACCUCCCAAAGUGCAAUACGGCAUUCCCUCCCAGAUUAAAUUCCUUCUGCAAAUUCUCUGCAUAUCUGUUUGUGAUCUGUGUGCAUUGAUCAAUGUUUACACUGUCCACAAUUCCACCAACCAUGCUGUCACCUGAAAACUUGUAAACCAUCCAUCAACAUUUUCAUCCAGACAUCGAUAUAUAUCAGAAACAACAUAAUUCCCAAUAUCGAUCCUUGUGGAUCACCACUGCACAUGGACUUCCAGCCCUAUAUAGCCUUCUAUGAGGAACCCAUUUCUGAAAUGAAAUUACUAUUUAUAUUGAAUCCUAUGCGUCUUCUUAAAAUGCCUUACUAAGGUCUGUAGAGAUCAUGUCCACAGUCUUGCCCUCGUAGAGCCAUAGAACAUUACAGCACAGAAACAUCGAGCACUAGAUGUUGGGACUGAUUCUUUUUAUAUUAUAUAUUAAUGUAAUGAUGAUGGAAUUGAUGGAUUUGUUGCAAAAUUUGCAGAUGAUAUGAAGAGACAGGUGGAGGCGCAUAUAUUUUUGAGGAACUAGGGAGGACAGAUAGAUGAAGAGAAUGGGCAAAGAAGUCGCAGAUGGAAUACAGAACUGGGAAGUGUAUGGUCAUGCACCAGUUGAAGAAAUAUUAGGGUUUUCUAUUUUCAAAAUGGAGAGAAGAUACAAAAAAAUGAGGUGCAGAGGGAUUUGGGAGUCAUUGUGCUGGUUCUGUAAAGGUUAAUUUGCAGGUUGAGUCUGUGGUGAGGAAGGCAAAUGUGAUGUUAGCAUUCAUUUCAAAAGGACUAGAAUAUAAAAGCAAGGAUGUGAUGUUGAGAUUUAUGAAGUAUUGGUGAGCUCUCACUUGGAGUAUUGGGAGCAGUUUUGGGCCCUUUAUAUUAAGAAGGAUUAGCUGAAACUGGAUGGGUUUCAAACGAGAUUCUCAAAAAUGAUUCCAGAAUUAAACAGCUUGUCAUAUGAAAAUUGUUUGAUGGCUCUGGGCCUUUAUUCCCUGGAAGUUAGAACAAUGAGGGAUGACGAAUUGAAACCUAUCGAAUAGUGAAAGUCCUUGAUAAAGUUGAUGUGGAGAGGAUGGGAGUGUCUAAGACCAGAGGACACAGCCUCAGAAGAGAGGGACAUACUUUUAGAAUGGAGAUGAGGAAGAAUUUCCUCAGAGAGAGUGGUGAAUCUGUGGAAUUCAUUGCCACGGGCGGCAGCUGUGGAGGCCAAGACUUUAGGUAUUUAAGGUGGAGGUUGAUAGGUUCUUGAUUGGUCAGUGCAUAAAGUGAUACAGGGAGAAAGGAGGAGAUUGGGGCUGAGAGGAAAGAUGUAUCAGCCAAGAUGAAAAGACAGAGCAGACUUGAUGGGCCAAAUGGCUUAAUUCUACUACUGUAUCUUGUAACCUGUAUCACCACCACUGAAACCUCGAUCAAUUUUGUCAAGCGUGAUCUGCCCACACAAAACCAUGCUGAUUGUCCCUAAGCAGGCCAUGCUUUUUCAAAUGUCGAUAAAUCCUGUACCUCAAUUUCAAGCUCGGAUCUGCUGGUCUUUAAACAACUCCCGCACGUCAGAUGUGGACUUGUCUGACAGUGGCUGCUCCCAAUCAAUGCCCCGUGGUUUCUGUCUUACUCCGUACUAACCUGCCCUCCUGCAAUUCAGUACCUUCAUACAAGAUCUGAUUUUAUUCUUCCUCAGCACUAAGAAAAAAUAUAAGAUCCCAGAAUAUUCACUGACUCUUAGCUGUCAGCUGGCCUGGCUCGUUUCCCAAAACUAAUUCCUCCUGUCUGUUCUCUCCUGUUGUUGGGCUCUGUACAUAAUGUUUCAAACACUCUUCAGAUUCAAUGAAGAAAUCUUGUGCAUCUAAGUAUUAAGCAAGUUCCAGUCAAUUCUAGGGAAGAUAAAGUCCCAGCACUGGUCGUUGACGGCCAGGACAAUAAUCCCAUCAGUGGACCUGCAGAUUGUCUCUGUAAAUGAGCCUUCCAGUUCGUUGUGACUUUCCCAGAGGGGUAAUCUCUGCUCCUGUUAAACCCACACUACCCCAACACACAUGUAAAACAAUGAAAUGCAGGAGUGUUGAGCUGCCAGCACUGUCCGUCUGACAACAGAAUACUCCUGAUGUUGAAAUAAACUCAUUUCAGCCUAUCAGUCCCAGCAUGUUUAUUAGCCUGCCAUUGGCUGUCGUUCUUUACAGACUGUCUUGUCAUACAUACAUUCUCCCACUUGCGAUUCCAGUUCAAACUCUGCCAAGUGACACCAUCAAACCUCCUGGUGAGGAUAUUGGUUCCCCUCCGGUCAAGAUGGAAAUGGCCUUGUUUGUCCCGGUCUCCCACCUGGCUGGAAGGGAGCCCAUUGAUCCAAGAAUCUGAAGACCUCCCUCCUGCAUCAGUUCCUCAGCAACAUAUUAAACUGCAGGAAAUAUCGAUUGCUCAUCACACCAGCACAUGCUUUGGGGCAUAAUUCCGAGACUGCAAUCCUGGAAGUCCUGCUUCUUUACCGAGUUCCCGAAAAUCAGUUUGGAGGACCUCAUCCCUGCUGUUUUAACCCCUGAAGUGCAGCAGGAAGAAAGCUCGCCUCCUCAAUGUACCUGUUCCACCUUCCCUUCGAGAGGCCUUGUAGCUGAAGCCCCACCCACCUCGCACCAGCUCCUCAGCCACCACUUUACCUGGGGU